ensembl:lncRNA
GUGAGCGGAGGGGGCUUCGCCCCUCGCCUCUGCUGCCUUACGUUGUUUCCCCGGCUAGAAGCUGGUGUCAGGCCCGGGGUCCGGAGUCCCCACCAUGCCUUCCGCGCAGAACUUCCCACUUCCAGAGUUAGCGAAAUGUGGGAGAUGUUACAGGAAAUAGGAACCAAGAUGUGCACAUGCUUGGAAUGAGCUGAGCUGGGGUGUUCAAGUCCUACUAUGUCUGAGGAUCGUAGCGCAAGGGGUGGGGGAGCCAGGCCUGGAGUCUGACAGCGUGAAGAGCUGGCCUGCGGAUGGCGGAGGGAGCCAGGAAGGCUUUUGGCACUGGAGGGAGGGAGCCGCAGAUGUUCCUAGGCUCUGGCCGCAGAGGGGAGACCAGAUGGUUGGGGAAAGGUUCAGGGCAAAGGAAGGGAGGCCCAUAGGAGUCUUACCUCAGAUAGACUACAUGAGUGAUGAUGGCUUGCCAAUCUCGUGACUGUGGACGAGGGAGAGGUUAAUUUUUUUUGUACCGGGGAUCAAACUCAAGACCUUGCACUUGCCAGGCAGGCAAAGUGCCACUGAGCUACAUCCCCGGCCCAGAAAUGGCUAAAUUUUGAUUUGUGUUUUCAAUUAGGCCAGCAAGAUUUUAUGAUGUGGAGGGUGAGAGAGAGAAAAAAAGUGACAACAGUAUCUCCAUCAGUUUUGGCCUCAGUCACUAGAAGGUGGAAGUGCAUGUCCACUGAGAUGGGGAGUCAGUAGGUAGAGCAGGUGUUCAGGGAAGGUCAGAAGGUGAAUUUUUUUGCCAUGUUGAAUAUCCGAGAUACCCCCAGGGAUUCUUGAGUGGAGGUGUCCAAAGGAUAACUGGACACACAGGGAAGAGUUCUGCUCAGGGAUUCAGCUUUAGGAAGGAGGAUCUUUAGGUCACCACAGUGCAUGCCUGGUGGUAGGGCAGCUGAGGAUGGGAUGGCUGGCCCAGGUAUGGUGGUAGAUGUCACAAAGUCAGAUGAAGGGAGAAGCAACCUCAAGAAAAUAUGUGGGAGAGAGGAGGGUCCAGAAGGUGACUAAUGUCCCUGGGAUGUAGUCUGGGCAAACAGAUGAGUAGAAUGAUGGUAGAGCCAAGAAUAGUGUGUAUUCACUUCUCCAUAGGCUCACUAUGGGGUUUUUGGGGUUGCCCUGUAUGGGCUGUGGUGUUUUCAGACAGGCUGGCAGUGUAGCUCAGUGGCAUACAGGGUCAGCUGGGAGAGUUUCAGGCCUAAGGUAGAAAGUGGUGGGGAUGGGCUUUGAAUACUCAUACUGUCGAGGGGGAUAUCCUGUGGUGGUAGGAGACAGUGUGCAGAAAGGCACAGGAGCCUGGAGAUCUGUAUGGUUCUGAAUGGCUACAGGUUGAAGGAAGGAACAGGGCCAAGUAGAGGAACCAUGAGGUAAGGGCUGGGUACUACUGACUAUCAAUUGGGUCUUUUGGAGGUCUGAGGCAGGACGGGAUUUUUUUUUUUCCUUCUCUUUUCUUUUUUUUUUUUUUUGGUGGUGGUGGGGGCUGGGGAUUAAAUCCAGGACCUCUGCACUGAAUAUCAUUCCCAGUAACUUUUUUAUUUUUUGAGUCAGUCUCACUGUCACUAGUUUCUCAGCCUCCCAGUAUGCUUGCAUUGUAGGUGUGCACCAUAGUGCCCAGCUUGGGCAGCAUCUUGAUUGCUCUCACAAGCCAGCCAAGGUCUGGACAUUUGCAGAGGCACUUGGGAAGGAGGGAAGAUGCUGGUUUUGUGGGCC